rnacentral:rRNA from 1 species
CCUACGGGAGGCAGCAGUAGGGAAUCUUCCACAAUGGGCGCAAGCCUGAUGGAGCAACACCGCGUGAGUGAAGAAGGUUUUCGGCUCGUAAAGCUCUGUUGUUGGGGAAGAACGUUCGUGAGAGUAACUGUUCCCGCAUUGACGGUAUCCGCCCAGAAAGUCCCGGCUAACUACGUGCCAGCAGCCGCGGUAAUACGUAGGGGGCAAGCGUUAUCCGGAUUUAUUGGGCGUAAAGCGCGCGCAGGCGGUUGGUUAGGUCUGAGGUGAAAGCCUUCGGCUUAACCGAAGAAGUGCAUCGGAAACCGGGAAACUGGAGUGUAGAAGAGGAUAGUGGAACUCCAGGUGUAGCGGUGGAAUCCGUAGAUAUAUGGAAGAACAUCAGUGGCGAAGGCGGCUGUCUGGGCUGCAACUGACGCUGAGGAUCGAAAGCAUGGGUAGCGAACAGGAUUAGAUACCCCAGUAGUC